GACGAACGCUGGCGGCGUGCUUAACACAUGCAAGUCGAACGGAAAGGCCCUGCUUUUGUGGGGUGCUCGAGUGGCGAACGGGUGAGUAACACGUGAGUAGCCUGCCCUUGACUUUGGGAUAACUUCAGGAAACUGGGGCUAAUACCGGAUAGGAGCUCCUGCUGCAUGGUGGGGGUUGGAAAGUUUCGGCGGUUGGGGAUGGACUCGCGGCUAUCCGCUUGUUGGGGGGGUAGUGGCUUACCAAGGCUUUGACGGGUAGCCGGCCUGAGAGGGUGACCGGCCACAUUGGGACUGAGAUACGGCCCAGACUCCUACGGGAGGCAGCAGUGGGGAAUAUUGCACAAUGGGCGGAAGCCUGAUGCAGCAACGCCGCGUGCGGGAUGACGGCCUUCGGGUUGUAAACCGCUUUCGCCUGUGACGAAGCGUGAGUGACGGUAAUGGGUAAAGAAGCACCGGCUAACUACGUG
rnacentral:rRNA from 1 species